rnacentral:rRNA from 1 species
CCUACGGGAGGCAGCAGUGAGGAAUAUUGGUCAAUGGCCGGGAGGCUGAACCAGCGAAGUCGCGUGAGGGAAGAAGGCCCUACGGGUUGUAAACCUCUUUUGUCAGGGAGCAAGGUGCAGGUCGGGACCUGCUGGGAGAGUACCUGAAGAAAAAGCAUCGGCUAACGCAGUGCCAGCAGCCGCGUUAAUACGGAGGAUGCGAGCGUUAUCCGGUGUUAUUGGGUUAAAGGGGUGCGCGGGCGGAGGCACAGGGCAGCGGUAAAAGCGAGGGGAUCAACCCCGCUCCGUCGUUGAAACUGUGUCCCUUGAGUGCGCGAAUGGUAGGCGGAAUGCUUGGUGUAGCGGUGCAAUGCGUAGAUAUCACGCAGAACUCCGAUCGCGAAGGCAGCCUACCGGCGCGCAACUGACGCUGAUGCACGAAAGCGUGGGUAUCGAACAGGAUUAGAUACCCGAGUAGUC